rnacentral:rRNA from 1 species
UACAGAGGGUGCAAGCGUUGUUCGGAAUUAUUGGGCGUAAAGCGCGUGUAGGCGGCUUUGCAAGUCGGGUGUGAAAUCCCCCAGCUUAACUGGGGAAGUGCGCUCGAAACUGCAGAGCUCGAGUACCGGAGAGGAUGGCGGAAUUCCCCAAGUAGAGGUGAAAUUCGUAGAUAUGGGGAGGAACACCGGUGGCGAAGGCGGCCAUCUGGACGGUAACUGACGCUGAGACGCGAAAGCGUGGGUAGCAAACAGG